rnacentral:misc_RNA from 1 species
UAAAACAAAUUCAAUUAUUCAUAUCCUUGAGUUCAUGAAAAAAUGCUUCAUAAGCAUGAGGAAUCACAUAAACUAACUAGGGGAAAAAAUUGAUAUGUUUUAUGCUUAAUCGAUUAUAUUUGAGACCUUGUGUCCAUCAAGUUUAAUUCAUCAAGAAAAGGGAGUAAAUAAGGUCAAAUUUUUUAAAAUAGAAAUCAACUGGUCCACUCAUAACCACUGUGAUUGACUCAGAACAACUGAAUAGAA